GACGAACGCUGGCGGCGUGCUUAACACAUGCAAGUCGAACGGAAAGGCCCUGCUUUUGUGGGGUGCUCGAGUGGCGAACGGGUGAGUAACACGUGAGUAACCUGCCCUUGACUUUGGGAUAACUUCAGGAAACUGGGGCUAUACCGGAUAGGAGCUCCUGCUGCAGGGUGGGGGUUGGAAAGUUUCGGCGGUUGGGGAUGGACUCGCGGCUUAUCAGCUUGUUGGUGGGGUAGUGGCUUACCAAGGCUUUGACGGGUAGCCGGCCUGAGAGGGUGACCGGCCACGUUGGGACUGGGAUACGGCCCAGACUCCUACGGGAGGCAGCAGUGGGGAAUAUUGCACAAUGGGCGGAAGCCUGAUGCAGCAACGCCGCGUGCGGGAUGACGGCCUUCGGGUUGUAAACCGCUUUCGCCUGUGACGAAGCGUGAGUGACGGUAAUGGGUAAAGAAGCACCGGCUAACUACGUG
rnacentral:rRNA from 1 species